AAAACAAUAGAAAACUUUGUGUCCUCCGCCGGCGAAGAACAAAGAACGAAGAAGAGGUUAUACAGUCCCCAUAAAAACCAGAUUUGCCGUCAUCUUUCGCCGGCGAUUAAGAGCUGUAAUCACCGGUGUUCACUGCUCCAUCCAGUUACAGAUACCGGCGUAGUUGGAUUAAAGAGUUCCGGCGGCGAAAUAAGAACUUAGUGGCUUCGGUGGUUGGUGAUUUGUAAUCACCGGUGUUCACUGCUCCAUCCAGUUACAGACACCGGCGUAGUUGGGUUAAAGAAUUCCGGUGGCUUUGAACUUAGUGGCUUCGGUGGUUGGUGAUUUUCUCCGGCGAUUCGGUGGGCAGGAUUAGGCUUCUUGUUGGGUCUUGAUCCUCAAUAGCUUGAUUAUUCCGAGUCCUAAGGAGGAUUUGAUAUACAAGUGGCAUUGGACUUAACAGAAGAUUAAAUCAACCAUCUGCAGAUAAUUGUCCAAACUAAAAGCAGGAAUGGCAUCUUCAAGCAAUAGCAUCAAAUAUCCUCCUCUACUUUAUGAAGAAGGGAAAUCACCUCUCCAACAUAGAAGCAUGAACCACAAUUGUUUUAUGUCAAAAAUUGGAUUUUUGAGAGAAGGAUUAGGUGUGGACGUGUGGGAUAAACUGAAGGAAUCAUCUCUUGGAGUGUUUAUAAAGUUUGCUGAAUUGGAAUACACAUGGGCUGCGCAGAGAGUUCACUAUCUUCGAGAUCCUGCAAUCAUAACUGGUGGUGUAUCACCGGGUAAAUCCUGCAAUAACCUCUUCGAGAUCUUGUAACUCAAGACAACAUCAAAUACCUUGUUAUCCAGCCUAUAAUCCUCAUAAACCAUUCCAAUGCAAUCAUCAAAUCUGCUUUGAUCGUUACAUUGUAGAAUUCGUGAACCCCUUUCAUUAUCAACAACAAACAACCA